rnacentral:rRNA from 1 species
UACGUAGGGGGCAAGCGUUGUCCGGAAUCAUUGGGCGUAAAGCGCGUGUAGGCGGUUCGGUAAGUCUGCUGUGAAAGUCCAGGGCUCAACCCUGGGAUGCCGGUGGAUACUGUCGGACUAGAGUACGGAAGAGGCGAGUGGAAUUCCCGGUGUAGCGGUGAAAUGCGUAGAUAUUGGGAGGAACACCGGUGGCGAAGGCGGCUAUCUGGACCGGUACUGACGCUGAGACGCGAAAGCCAGGGGAGCAAACGGG